rnacentral:rRNA from 1 species
UGGCCAAUUAAGUCAAAUGUGAAAUCCCCGAGCUUAACUUGGGAAUUGCAUUCGAUACUGGUUGGCUAGAGUAUGGGAGAGGAUGGUAGAAUUCCAGGUGUAGCGGUGAAAUGCGUAGAGAUCUGGAGGAAUACCGAUGGCGAAGGCAGCCAUCUGGCCUAAUACUGACACUGAGGUGCGAAAGCAUGGGGAGCAAACAGGAUUAGAUACCCUGGUAGUCCAUGCCGUAAACGAUGUCUACUAGCCGUUGGGGCCUUUGAGGCUUUAGUGGCGCAGCUAACGCGAUAAGUAGACCGCCUGGGGAGUACGGUCGCAAGACUAAAACUCAAAUGAAUUGACGGGGGCCCGCACAAGCGGUGGAGCAUGUGGUUUAAUUCGAUGCAACGCGAAGAACCUUACCUGGUCUUGACAUAGUAAGAACUUUCCAGAGAUGGAUUGGUGCCUUCGGGAACUUACAUACAGGUGCUGCAUGGCUGUCGUCAGCUCGUGUCGUGAGAUGUUGGGUUAAGUCCCGCAACGAGCGCAACCCUUUUCCUUAUUUGCCAGCGGGUUAAGCCGGGAACUUUAAGGAUACUGCCAGUGACAAACUGGAGGAAGGCGGGGACGACGUCAAGUCAUCAUGGCCCUUACGACCAGGGCUACACACGUGCUACAAUGGUCGGUACAAAGGGUUGCUACCACGCGAGUGGAUGCUA